rnacentral:rRNA from 1 species
CGGGAAUCUUCGGCAAUGGACGGAAGUCUGACCGAGCAACGCCGCGUGAGUGAGGAAGGCCUUCGGGUCGUAAAGCUCUGUUGCCAGGGAAGAAAGGUUCGGGGAGGGAAUGCCCCGGGCGUGACGGUACCUGAGAAGAAAGCCCCGGCUAACUACGUGCCAGCAGCCGCGGUAAUACGUAGGGGGCAAGCGUUGUCCGGAAUUAUUGGGCGUAAAGCGCGCGCAGGCGGUCUUUUAAGUCUUGUGUUUAAUCCCGGGGCUCAACCUCGGUUCGCAUGGGAAACUGGGAGACUGGAGUGCAGGAGAGGAAAGUGGAAUUCCACGUGUAGCGGUGAAAUGCGUAGAGAUGUGGAGGAACACCAGUGGCGAAGGCGACUUUCUGGCCUGUAACUGACGCUGAGGCGCGAAAGCGUGGGGAGCAAAC